rnacentral:tRNA from 1 species
GGGAGAUGGCUCAGUGGUUAAGAGCACUGGUUAUUCUUCCAGAGGUCCUGAGUUCAAAUCCCAGCACCCA